AUGCAGUGAUGUGGACACUUCCUCAAUAAUUCCUUGUAUCUUUCCCAUGCCUCAUACAAAGGCUCUCCAUCUUACUGAACAAAAGAUGUAAUCUCCCCUCUGAUUUU